UAUCGCCAAGCGGCAGCGGGUCUUCUCCAUUUCGUGGAGUUUCACUACUAGCUCCAGUACUCGCUGCUGCAGUGCCGUUGUGGAAGGUCCACAGCCAUGCCAGUGCGGAAAAAGCAGAAGCGCGACGUCGUUCGCGACGUGGAGCUGCACAGCGACGAAGACGGCGGCACGGCGCCGAAGAUCAUGGUACGGCUUUUGGAUGAACACGGGACACCAAGCGGCACUCAAAUCCUGCUCCCUGCGUCUGCGACGCCGAAGCAGCUCGAUGAGCUUCUCUCUUCACUACUGCAAGAUGAAGAGGCGAAAACGAUUCCGUACGCUUUUUUCAUCGAUGGCGAGCAAAUCAACAGGAGCGUGCAGGACAUCCUUUUCAGGAGGCAGAAGCACGACUACGUAGCGCGAAUGCUGAAGGAGGGGCGGCGCGUGCGUCCGCAGGAUGUUGAGAAGCUCGAGUUUAUUGCACCGGAGGAAACGGUGGUGGAGAUUAUGUACAAGCCGCAGGCAGUGUUUCGCGUUCGUCCCGUGACGCGCUGCGCUGGUACGCUGGACGGCCACAGUGAGGCCGUGCUGGUGGUGUCCUUUUCUCCAGACAGCCAGGUGUUGGCGACGGGUGGCGGCGACAAGGAGAUUCGUAUUUGGGACAUGAACACCCUCACUCCCGUGGAGGAGCUCAAGGCGCACACGAGCUGGGUGCAGGUGCUCUCGUGGUCUCCGGAUGGACGUUACUUGGUGAGUGGAAGCAAGGACGGGAUUCUAGCCAACUGGACGCAUAACGGUGGCUACGGCGAUUUUAGGUGCAAGAAGCACAAGGCGCACACCCAGUACGUGUCUCAUGUCUCGUGGGAGCCGCUGCACCGCAACCCUCAGUGCGACCGCUUCGUCUCGGCGAGCAAGGACGCGUCGUUAAAGAUAUGGAACAUGGCAACGGGGCUUGAGCGCUCCUUAUCUGGUCAUCAGUCGUGCGUCACAUGUGUGAAGUGGGGUGGCGAGGACCGCAUCUACUCUUCCUCACAGGAUCGUACGGUAAUAGUGUGGGAUGCCGGCACCGGCUCACCGUGGUGCGUGCUCCGCGGCCAUGCGCACUGGGUCAAUUUCUUGGCGCUCAGCACAGACCUUGUCACGCGCACCGGCGUUUUCGACCACGAGGAUCGCAAGUUCAGCGCACGCGAGGACAUGUGCGCGCACGCACGGAAGCGCUACGACGCUGUGGUGACUCGCUUUGGCGGUUCGGAGCGGCUUGUAAGCUGCUCCGAUGACAAUACGAUGUUCUUGUGGAAUCCGCAGCAGUCUGUCACACCGGUGGCGCGCAUGACAGGUCACCAGGGGGUUGUGUUUCACAUCCAGUUCAGUCCGGAUGGGACGAUGCUAGCCUCGUGCUCAGCGGACAAGAGCGUGAAGCUCUGGAAUGCAGAGGACGGCAGGUUCAUCACCACCUUCCGCGGGCACGUGGCAGCGGUGUAUCACGUCAGCUGGAGUCUCGAUUCUCGCAUGCUGGUGUCCGGCAGCAAGGACACCACUGUGAAGCUGUGGUCCGUAGCGAAGCGGGAGCUUGUCGAGGACAUGUCCGGUCAUAGCGAUGAGAUUUACGCGACAGACUGGAGCCCUGAUGGGCAGAAGGUGGCCACAGGCUCGAAGGACAAGCACGUGCGCAUCUGGGUUCACUAACGCAGCACUGCUUAUUAGCAUUCGGUGCUGUUCCCAUGUCCUUUUCCUUGACAUGCGUGUGCGUGUGCGUGUGACCACUUCUCGUUUUUUUUUAAAUGACGUUCUACUUCGUGUAAGACUUUAACUGUGCGCUUGCACUCGCAAACGUGCGCCUCUAUUUUCCUCCAAAGGGGGAAAAAGGAUGAACUGUGCAACGCGAAAGCAGAACAAUAAAGGCGAGCCAGAGCAGACGCUGCGACGAAGCAGCACCCGCUGAGAGUGUAG
rnacentral:misc_RNA from 1 species